rnacentral:lncRNA from 1 species
UGAAGUUUUAUAUAUUGUACUAUACUAGUUUAAUGCGAUUUUUUUUAAAAUAUAGUUUAAUGCGAAUUGAAUCGUUGAAAAUUUAUGGUUUGUACUAUGCUAGUUCAAUGCGAAUUGAAUCGCUUAUAGAUCUUCAAAUUAUCACUUCGAAUAUAUUCAAAUAAUGAAAUCUUUAAUUUUGACAUAAAAUAUAUCCAUUCUCAAUUCCCAUCAUUCAUCAUUCACCUUCCCUCGUCUUCCAAAGGAAAAAUAAAAAGUAAAAAAAAUAAAAAUCUGAUAGAUUAUAUUACCUCUUUCAUUAAAAGUAUAUUACUUUUUUUAUCCCUUACACUGC